AUUCGGUUACCAGAAAGAAGUUAAUCGAAAGCGUGCCAAUUGACUGUUAAUUUAACAGCAAGCAAGUUUUGGUAGCACAGUUAGAAAUUGUACGAUAUCGUGCGGCCACUCUAAAAAGCCAAAUUAUGACAUACAAAUCAAUCUGUAUGGCUUUAAGCGUAUUUGGAGUAUACGGUGAACAAAUCAAAAUGAGAAUGUGCCGAAAUCGUAUGCAGGGACCUAGUUCUGUUUAAUUACUCUUCUAGGCAUGUACCGAUUUAACUAUCUCAAGAAUUGAUAUUAAAUAGACCUUGUGUAUUAAUUGAAUAUAAACAAUAUUAAAGUAGUAUUAUCAUGUUCAG
rnacentral:sRNA from 1 species